UGUAAUAGAAUUUUAAAAUAGAUACUCUCUAUACAUUAAUUUUUGUAGUAGAAGUCCAUUGAUACAUGUGGGGCUGUGCAAAAUUCGGUUCAACCCAUUAACCCGAAUCGAUAAUUUGUUUAUCGAGUUAAUGGGUCAGUUUAAUUAAUUAUCGAUUCGGGUGUCGAUUUUAGUUUUUUUGUUAUUAGGCUGUCGGUUUGAACCGCGAUUUUAUUGAUAUUUUUAUCGGGGUACCCGAUAUCUGGAAAAGCAUAAUAGGCUACACUCUACAGGACCCCGCACUGACCUAAUUAUUCAAGACAAAAGCGACCCAAGUCCCAAAGAGUAAUAACCAAUAGGGUUUAUUCUACACUUAGCGUCUUUCUCUCAGUUUUCACCGAUUCACUCUUCAGUCUCUCUCUCACCACUCACAAGUCACAAAAGCUCGGGUAUUGCUGCUCUCAAAAGUUCAAUUUCUGCAUCUCACUCUUAAUCUCUCUCUCACUACUCACAAGUCAUAAAAGCUUGAUUGUUGAUGUUCACAAAAGCUCAAUUUUUGCUUAAAACUACUCAAUUAAAUGAUUCUCGUCUGUUGCUGCUCAGUGCUCACAAUCGCUACGCAACAGGUAACAAUUUUUAGAUAAUCUCUGCUUCAUCUUCAAUUUCUGUCCAGUGUCCAAUCUUCGAUGUAUGUACAAUUUCUGUCCAAACUAUAAUUGGUGCUUCAUGUUUGUGAAUCCACUGUUUAAGCCAACAUAAAAACACUAUCAACAAAUGCACAAGGAGGUUUCAUAAAAUUGAGAUUACAAAGAAGAGAAAAUCAGUAGAAAUAUAGCUUAAAGUUGGAUUGUUGGAUUGAACAGGGAGACAGUAUAAUUAUUGAGUAUUAUUUUGAGUUUAUAGGUUUAAUUGUUCACCAAAUGUUAGAGUGUCUGUAUGUUACAACUUUUCCCUUCACUAUGUGUUAUAAGAAUGGAUGCGCGAGUUGACAUCAUUGUUGAUUGAUGAAUUGUGCUUUGAAUUUUGGUUCAAAAUUGUGUUUUAGGGAUUGUAGUCGAAACACAUAGUUGUUUUGAUUGUGAUUUUAUAUGUGCGGAUACAUGUGUUGUGAAUGUGUUUGUUUGAAAUGACUACUUCAUAUUGGUUAAUUAUUCGUAUCUCAUAACUAGCAUUACAUAAUGUUAUUCUCGCUCAUGAAGCAGUCAUGGUAGUAGUGAACUGUUGUUUAAGGUUACUGAAUGCAAGUUUGUACUCCUUGAGUUCUGUUGGAAUAGGUUCAUAAAUUGAAGAAAUAUUGUGUAAGUUUAGCACCCGAGAUAGAUAUUGUUGUUGAUAUGAUGUGAAGAUUAUGAUGUGAUAAUCACUGUACUUUGCUUGAAGCCUGAGCAUUGAAGGAUGGAAUUGUGAAUCUACAAGGGUGAACUUGAAAACAUAAUGGUUGAAAGCUUGCAUAUAUGAUUAGAUGUAUGGGAAGAUUACUCGUAUUGAAUUAUCUAGCACAGGAGUCUAGUAGUUCCUGAUAAGGAUAUUCAGUUAUGUAGAUUUAAAAAGGUAAUGCUCUCUGUUUCUUGCCUAUUUAAAUUGAUGACAUUUGGACGAAUCCCUUUUGAAUAAACUUAUGAUCUUUCUAUUAUUUCAGUA
rnacentral:lncRNA from 1 species